GAAAAUGAAAAUUAAAUAACCAUAGAAAUAGAAAGAUAAACCGAAAGAAAAAAAAAAAUAGAUGUUAGAGAUAGAGUGAUUAUGAAUUCAUUAAAGGAUAAUUAAGACAUUUUUAUUUUUUAAUAAUUCUGAAAAACAAGAUUAAAAACUAACUUAAAACCCAAAAAUAUUUUUUAAAAUUCUCGCCUAAUUUAAAGCAAAUUAAUUGGGUGAUGUGAGGAAUUUAAAGCAAAUUAAUGGGUGAUAAGAAACGUCCAUAUUCUUCCUCUCUUCCCCAAUAACACAUGCAUCGCAUAAGGCUAAUAAAGCUUACUUAAUCUGGAGACAAGCUAAAGUUGAAGCUUUUAUCAAAAUGUUUUCUGUGGCUUGUAGUAAUUCUUUAAUUGCCUUGCUCCCUAAGGUUUCAACAUGUUAAGCACUUAAAUGAUCAGUAAGACAACAAUGCUAAUGAUCGAUUACUAUGGCUUUUUAUGAAAGACUCGGUGAAAGAGGUGACGGCUUCUUCAUUCAACCAAGGGCCAGAGCUUUCCAACUCCAUGUGAUCGUCAUCGACAUUUGAGUUCUGCGGCUUCGAUUUGUGGUGCUGUUUAAGUUUCACGAAGCCGUAACGUAGUAGAAGAAAUGGAGAGUCGGAGACUUUCUCAAAACUUCCCCUCCCCAUUUUCGCUCCUGGACAUCUCUGUGGUUGCAGAUGGUCAUCUGAAGGCUACUGAACCAGAAAAAGAAGAGAGGAAUUCUACAUUUUUCUCACUGAUCUCCAUCUUUGUGAGUAACGUCAGCUUAUUUUCAUUUUGUUGAGAUCCCAUUGAAUGAUUCGAGUCUCUUGCAACAGAAUCUUGUAAGCAUAAACAAAACAAAAAACAAAAAAAAACUGAUUUCCCUUGUAUAUAUUAUGAUUGAUGUUACAAAAUUUUCUCACAAUCAAGCAUUUCAUAUACGAGAAUGAUCAAGAUCUAGUCUAAAGAGGAUAUAUGGUAUCAAACACGACUCUUGCAAAAAUAUGCCGAACCUCUAGCAGGCUGCCCUGAGCUAAUGACUCGUAGUCAAUCUUGCUGCCUUGCUUUGCCCCAAAUCCCAGCUUCCCACCCACUUUUACGCAGUUGAAAAUCUGGGAGACCCUCAAAGAUAAUCCCCAUGGUAUAAAUACCUGCAGCAAAUUGAGAUCGAAUAAAAUAAGACUUGCCCUUUACAUGUUCUCCUUAAACUGAGAUGAAAUGCAAAGUCGACGAUGUACACACAAACAGGAAGGGAGAAAGGUUGCACUGACCAGAUCAGAAAACGGUGCUUGUGGGUACUCUGCCAUGGCCUCUGAGACAAUUUGCUGAUCAGUCAUAUGAUGGAGUGCCAGCCUAAAAGAUGCCUCAAGAUCCUUAACCUCUUUAUCAUAUGCUUCAGAGUCCAAACGCUUCGGUUCUAAUAAUUCAUGAAAGCCACCGACAUAUGGUUUAGUGAUUGUCCUGGCUAUGUCCACUGCUUCU